CUGGCUCNGGACGAACGCGGGCGGCGUGCCNAAUACAUGCAAGUCGAGCGAGUGAAACUAACUGAUCCNUNCGGNGNGACGUUAGUGGAUCUAGCGGCGGACGGGUGAGUAACACGUNGGCAACCUGCCUGUAAGACUGGGAUAACUCGCGGAAACGCGAGCUAAUACCGGAUGAUACUUUGAACUGCAUGGUUCGAAGAUGAAAGGCGGCGCAAGCUGUCACUUACAGAUGGGCCCGCGGCGCANUAGCUAGUUGGUGAGGNAACGGCUCACCAAGGCGACGAUGCGUAGCCGACCUGAGAGGGUGAUCGGCCACACUGGGACUGAGACACGGCCCAGACUCCUACGGGAGGCAGCAGUAGGGAAUCUUCCGCAAUGGACGAAAGUCUGACGGAGCAACGCCGCGUGAGUGAUGAAGGUUUUCGGAUCGUAAAACUCUGUUGUUAGGGAAGAACAAGUACAAGAGUAACUGCUUGUACCUUGACGGUACCUAACCAGAAAGCCCCGGCUAACUACGUGCCAGCAGCCGCGGUAAUACGUAGGGGGCAAGCGUUGUCCGGAAUUAUUGGGCGUAAAGCGCGCGCAGGCGGUCCUUUAAGUCUGAUGUGAAAGCCCACGGCUUAACCGUGGAGGGUCAUUGGAAACUGGAGGACUUGAGUACAGAAGAGGAGAGUGGAAUUCCACGUGUAGCGGUGAAAUGCGUAGAGAUGUGGAGGAACACCAGUGGCGAAGGCGACUCUCUGGUCUGUAACUGACGCUGAGGCGCGAAAG
rnacentral:rRNA from 1 species